GACGAACGCUGGCGGCGUGCUUAACACAUGCAAGUCGAACGGAAAGGCCCUGCUUGCAGGGUACUCGAGUGGCGAACGGGUGAGUAACACGUGGGUGAUCUGCCCUGCACUUCGGGAUAAGCCUGGGAAACUGGGUCUAAUACCGGAUAGGAGCCAUUUUUAGUGUGAUGGUUGGAAAGUUUUUUCGGUGUAGGAUGAGCUCGCGGCCUAUCAGCUUGUUGGUGGGGUAAUGGGCUACCAAGGCGGCGACGGGUAGCCGGCCUGAGAGGGUGGACGGCCACAUUGGGACUGGGAUUCGGGCCAGACUCCUACGGGGGGGAGCAGUGGGGAAAAUUGGACAAUUGGCGCGAGCCUGAUGCAGCGACGCCGCGGGGGGGAUGACGGCCUUCGGGUUGGAAACUCCUUUCGCUAGGGACGAAGCUUUUUGUGACGGUACCUAGAGAAGAAGCACCGGCUAACUACGUG
rnacentral:rRNA from 1 species